rnacentral:lncRNA from 1 species
AAGGCAGUAAGUGUACUGCAGUCCUCGCCAAGUCAACACAAACUGUCUUCUCUCCAUGGAUAGGGUGUGGAGAAGAGUGCAGUUGCUGAAUCGGCAGCUGUGCUGAUCUGUUCUGGUAAAGACGCUAUUUGUCACAGCGGCUGUGACUGGAGAGACUACCUGGUCACGCUGCAGGACCCCACCGCCACCUUCCAUCACAGCCUGGUGUCUGCAGUGCCCAGUUCCAUGAAUUACAUGGGAAUUGGCGGGCACUGGAAUUUCACCAUCCUUUGAGCCUCUGACAGUGGCUCUGAUCUCUGCGAUUCCUCCAGGAAGGCAGGAUGGAUUUACUAAUUUGGUAGGAAUGGGGAGGGGUGUUCAGAGCCUUCCAACUGAUGGUCCCUAAUUCAGUGGCUCUGACUUCACAGGUUAAGGAACCAGUGAUGGUUUCUACAGCCCAAGGUGCCGCUCUGCUUGUCUGCUCAGCGGCGACUCAGAGCCUGGACAGUUUCCAAGGUCUGCUCUUUCCCGUUACCACUGCAGUCUUCCCAGCACACGCAUGCAGGUCCCUUUGGGGAAGCAUCGACCAAAGGGACCUGCAGCCUACGUGUGGGGUCCUUCCUCAGGUGAACCUGACUCCCCCUUCAGUCAGUGAGCUCCGAGCCUGUGAGCUGACUCAGGUGUGGGACUUGGACCAUGACCUGCAGGUUUUUGUUCAUUGCUGAGCAAUGCCUCUUGGUGCCUUCCUGUCUCCGUUCGGGCUGCUGUGAUGAAACACCAAGCCUGGCCACGCCCCAGAGGACAGGGGCCCCAUCAGGAGGUGAGAUCGUGAUGCCAGCCAGGCUCCUUGUUGAUCAAGUUACCGAGGGUCUACCCAGCAGAUGGGGGCCCGGAAGCUGGGGGAGACGCAGCCAUUUGGCCCUGGGCUCCCAAGUGUCCUGCUGUCACUGGGUUAAUCCCUGUCCAGGAAGAGCCCAGGGCUCUGCAGAGGAGAGGGGGAAUAAACCAGCAGUGGCAACCCCAAAGGGAGGCUUUUUCUCUCUUGUCCCAUCCUCAGGGCCUAAGACAGAGCUUGGCCUCACCUCUGACACUCAUCAGGUGCUCAGUAGAAGCUUGUUGCUUAGAGAACGCACUUGCCUGUCUGCACGGCUUCAUUUGUUGGUGAUAUGCUUGUUUUCCUCAUUCACUGUGAAAGCAGAACCCGCGUCCUGGCAUAGCGGGAGUUCUUUGUAGCCCACGUUCUCCAACCUCUUCCUCCCUCAAAGCCCUCCCGCGUCUGCCUCUCUCAGGAUCUCUGGAAGUCUCUCUUCUCUAGGAGGGCAGAGGGAGUUAAGGAGUCAGUUACACAGACCCCACUCUGUCCAUGUCCCGCACCAUCAAUCGUGUGGAAAGAUUUCUGUCCCAGCAAGUUAACUUUACACAUCCAUUUCAUCUCUCCAUGUAAGGUGUUGGCCCUGGUCUGGUAAAACACCCACAAUAGGAACAUUUUACAGGAAACUCAUUCUACUCAUAACUCAAAAUGGAAUGGCCAAGUGUAGGCUGGGCAUGACUGUGAAGUCAGAACCACUGAAUUAGGAACAUCAAUUGGAAGCCUCUGAACCCCCCUCCCCUUUUCUACCAAAUUAGUAAAUCCAUCCUGCCUUCCUGGAAGAAUCGCAGAGAUCAGAGCCGCCAUCAGAGGCUUGAAGGGUGGCAAAAUUCUGCCAACCAACUCCUGGCUCACACUAGGAAACUUAGCACUUUGGGAGGCUCAGACACGAGGACUGCUUGAGGUCAGGAGUUUGACACUAGCCUGGACAACAUAGCGAGACCCCAUCUCUACAAAAUGUUAAAAAGAAAAAAAGAGUUAGGUGUGGUUGUGUGCAUCUGUAGUCCCAGCUACUCAGGAGACUGAGGUGGGAGAACUGCUUGAACCUGGGAGGUUGAGACUGCAGUGACUGUGGGAGCCCAGGGGGUUAUGGUGAGCCAUGAUCACGCCCCUGCACUGCAACCUGUGCGACAGAGGGAGACUUUGUCUCUUCAAACAAAUAAAGAACAAGUACAUGAGUUGCUUGAAAGAUUCCCAGUGCCUACUUCCAAUUCAGAGCGCGGUGCUCCACGCAGUUGGGUGCGUUGCUGGGAUUCAGACACGGAGUCUCCCCAAAGCAGCAAGUGGUGAUGCAGCUAGGAACGGGCAGGCCAAGCCCCCCACCCAGCCCCCCGAGGUUGAUGUCCCUUUCCACUUGACACAGAAAAGAGGCAACUCAUCCUACUGCAUUUUAAAAUAAAAAUACUUUAUUGAUGAAGUCAGACAGCAGCUAACAGUUUGAGAAGCUUGGGAAGAAAUCACUUUCACAUGGGGGAUAUAUGCAACCUA